rnacentral:rRNA from 1 species
UACGUAGGGUGCGAGCGUUGUCCGGAAUUACUGGGCGUAAAGAGCUCGUAGGUGGUUUGUCGCGUUGUUCGUGAAAACUCACAGCUUAACUGUGGGCGUGCGGGCGAUACGGGCAGACUGGAGUACUGCAGGGGAGACUGGAAUUCCUGGUGUAGCGGUGGAAUGCGCAGAUAUCAAGCGGAACACCAGUGGCGAAGGCGAGUCCCUGGACAACUCCUGACACUGAGGCACGAAAGCUAGGGGAGCAAACAGG